rnacentral:rRNA from 1 species
GACGAACGCUGGCGGCGUGCUUAACACAUGCAAGUCGAACGGAAAGGCCCCCUUGUGGGGUACUCGAGUGGCGAACGGGUGAGUAACACGUGAGUAACCUACCCUUGAUUUUGGGAUAACUUCAGUAAACUGGGGCUAAUACCGGAUAGGAGCUCCUGCUGCACGGUGGGGGUUGGAAAGUUUCGGCGGUUGGGGAUGGACUCGCGGCUUAUCAGCUUGUUGGUGGGGUAGUGGCUCACCAAGGCUUUGACGGGUAGCCGGCCUGAGAGGGUGACCGGCCACAAUGGGACUGAGAUACGGCCCAGACUCCUACGGGAGGCAGCAGUGGGGAAUAUUGCACAAUAGGCGGAAGCCUGAUGCAGCAACGCCGCGUGCGGGAUGACGGCCUUCGGGUUGUAAACCGCUUUCGCCUGUGACGAAGCGUGAGUGACGGUAAUGGGUAAAGAAGCACCGGCUAACUACGUG